rnacentral:rRNA from 1 species
GUGUCAGCCGCCGCGGUAAUACCGGCAGUCCGAGUGAUGGCCGAUCUUAUUGGGCCUAAAGCGUCCGUAGCUGGCCACGCAAGUCCAUCGGGAAAUCCACCUGCCCAACAGGUGGGCGCCCGGUAGAAACUGCGUGGCUUGGGACCGGAAGGCGCGACGGGUACGUCCGGGGUAGGAGUGAAAUCCCGUAAUCCUGGACGGACCGCCGAUGGCGAAAGCACGUCGCGAGAACGGAUCCGACAGUGAGGGACGAAAGCUAGGGUCUCGAACCGGAUUAGAUACCCCGGUAGUCC